UGGACGAACCUCUGGUGUUCCGGUUGUCACGCCAGUGGCAUUGCCGGGUAGCUAUGUUCGGAAAAGAUAACCGCUGAAAGCAUCUAAGCGGGAAACUUGCCUCAAGAUGAGAUCUCACUGGGAACUUGAUUCCCCUGAAGGGCCGUCGAAGACUACGACGUUGAUAGGCUGGGUGUGUAAGCGUUGUGAGGCGUUGAGCUAACCAGUACUAAUUGCCCGUGAGGCUUGACCAUAUAACACCCAAACA
rnacentral:rRNA from 1 species